UCAUCCCAUCUCACUCCCACCUAAUCAACUUGGAUUUGUAGAUGUGUUUAUCAGUGUGACGAUGGUGGGUUACUGAUGACGUCGAAUGCGAACGUCAUUUAACACAUCAAAUUUCAUUCUCUUUUAGUUUAUUGUUAAUUGUUUUUCGUUUUGAAAGUGAUAGUGAUUGUUGCAGCAAUAGCAAAGAGUUGUAUUAUCAAUUCACAUGGACACGAAGUGCCGACAAGUGUCGGAUAACGAAUGACGUGUGUUUGGAGUCCACGUGCGUCAUAGAGGCAGUAAUUACAUAUAUAUUACGACGAUUCAGCAUCGCUGUUAAUGUCCUUACCAGUGUGUAGUAUUAAGCCAGACGUAUUAAAUAGGCAAAGAUAAAAACUGACUACACAAUAGCAUCAUAUUGUAAGAAUACGAAUAUUAUAUCAUAUACAAUAUA